ACACGGAAUCGAGCACCCGGGCCAGACUGACACUUUCCGGAGCCUGUCCGAGACGGAACUCGAGCCUAGGAAUCAUAGGUGCAGGUCCGGCUGAAUUGACAGGCCAUCAAAAACUGUACAGCAUGACUGAUUCGGAGACAGCCCUCAACACUCGCCCAGUCGUGUCGAGAGGAUCGGUGUCUUUGUAGAUUACACGGAAUCGAGCACCCGGGCCAGACUGACACUUUCCGGAGCCUGUCCGAGACGGAACUCGAGCCUAGGAAUCAUAGGUGCAGGUCCGGCUGAAUUGACAGGCCAUCAAAAACUGUACAGCAUGACUGAUUCGGAGACAGCCCUCAACACUCGCCCAGUCGUGUCGAGAGGAUCGGUGUCUUUGUAGAUUACACGGAAUCGAGCACCCGGGCCAGACUGACACUUUCCGGAGCCUGUCCGAGACGGAACUCGAGCCUAGGAAUCAUAGGUGCAGGUAUGGCAAAAUGCUUAAAGCUCAUGUUUGAC